rnacentral:misc_RNA from 1 species
AGCAGCCGCGGUAAUUCCAGCUCCAAUAGCGUAUAUUAAAGUUGCUGCAGUUAAAAAGUUCGUAGUUGAAUUUCGGGAUCAUCAUGUCGGUCGUGCCUCGGGUACGUACUGGUUUUAUUGGUUCCUCCCUUCUGACGAAACAUGAUGUCAUUAAUUUGGUGUCGUGGAGAAUCAGGACUGUUACCUUGAAAAAAUUAGAGUGUUUAUAGCAGGCUAACGCUUGAAUACAUUAGCAUGGAAUAAUGAAAUAGGACGUUCGACCCUAUUUUGUUGGUUUCUAGGAUCGACGUAAUGAUUAAUAGGGAUAGUUGAGGGCAUUAGUAUUCAAUUGUCAGAGGUGAAAUUCUUGGAUUUAUUGAAGACUAACUACUGCGAAAGCAUUUGCCAAGGAUGUUUUCAUUAAUCAAGAACGAAGGUUAGGGGAUCGAAAACGAUCAGAUACCGUUGUAGUCUUAACAGUAAACUAUGCCGACUAGGGAUCGGGUCACCUCAAUUAUGAUGUGUGACUCGGCACCUUACG